CUAAGAUCCCUGAUGGCAUCAUAACAUUGCAUUUGCACAACCUCAAGGAUCAUGAGCAUCUUGGUUCCCUUUGCCUUUGGGUGGGACUCCUUGUGAUUGGUUUGAGAUCACCAAGCAUGCUUGAAUUAUACAUCAUUGUAGAUCAUGAGCAUCUUGGUUCCCUUUGCCUUUGGGUGGGACUCCUUGUGAUUGGUUUGAGAUCACCAAGCAUGCUUGAAUUAUACAUCAUUGUUUCUCUUACUUUUGUUUACUAAAAAAAAAUAAUAAAUAAAUA
rnacentral:lncRNA from 1 species